AGCGAACGCUGGCGGCAGGCUUAACACAUGCAAGUCGAGCGGACCUUUCGGGGUCAGCGGCGGACGGGUGAGUAACGCGUGGGAACGUGCCUUCCGGUUCGGAAUAACCCUGGGAAACUAGGGCUAAUACCGGAUACGCCCUUAUGGGGAAAGGUUUACUGCCGGAAGAUCGGCCCGCGUCUGAUUAGCUAGUUGGUGGGGUAACGGCCUACCAAGGCGACGAUCAGUAGCUGGUCUGAGAGGAUGAUCAGCCACACUGGGACUGCGACACGGCCCAGACUCCUACGGGAGGCAGCAGUGGGGAAUAUUGGACAAUGGGAGCAAGCCUGAUCCAGCCAUGCCGCGUGAGUGAUGAAGGCCUUAGGGUUGUAAAGCUCUUUUAUCCGGGACGAUAAUGACGGUACCGGAGGAAUAAGCCCCGGCUAACUUCGUG
rnacentral:rRNA from 1 species